AAAAAAAGUCACAAAAUUUACAUUUUGCAAGUAUUAUGCGGUAAGAACCUCUACUUCAAUUACAAAUUUUACGAUGGAUUCUAAGAACUGGUGGAGAAAAAAAUAUAUAGGUUUCACAACUUCUGAGAAGUCAAAUGGGAAAUGAAUAAACAAUGCACUCACCCAUCAGUUGGAAUAUUUGUAGUAGCCAACUGCGCAGGAUAAAGAGGAUGUUCAACAGCAACCAGAAAACUGUAUAUGAAGGAACAAAAAUGAUUCCAUAAGAUGCAAAUACUGCAGCAUCACUAAAAGUAAAUGACAGCAACAUGACAAACCAAUCACCACAACAUCAAACGAAGAGAAGUUAGGGAUUAAUGACAAGAAUUAUCCUACACAAGAUGCCAGUGAAGAAUGCGAGCUGGCAAUAAGCCUCUAAAAGAUUUUAAUCUAGCAAUUUAGCUUUCACCCCAUAAGUUGGAGAUAGCAAGAAAAGGAUCAUAUCUAUCUCCUCAGUUAACAAUGCCCAAGUCCAACUGCUCAUCUAUCAGAAGACUUUUUUAAGCCAACUAUAAAAAAAUCAUAUCACUCGUGAUUCCUUUCCCGCCACAAUCAAGCUUCUUAACCUUCCCCCUACCAACAGCAUCACAUAAACUACCAUCAAUUUAC
rnacentral:misc_RNA from 1 species